rnacentral:tRNA from 1 species
AGCCAUGUGGCAUAAUGGUUGGAGUGUUGGACUAUGACUCUGGAGACCAGGGUUUGAUUCCCAGCUUGGUCA